rnacentral:rRNA from 1 species
AGGGCGUGGUGCGCGGCGCGCCGCGCCGCGCCAGACUUUGAUCAUGGCUCAGGAUGAACGCUAGCUACAGGCUUAACACAUGCAAGUCGAGGGGAAACGAUAUUGGAAGCUUGCUUCCGAUAGGCGUCGACCGGCGCACGGGUGAGUAACGCGUAUCCAACCUGCCCAUCACUUGGGAAUAACCUUGCGAAAGUAAGACUAAUGCCCAAUGACAUUUAUAGAAGGCAUCGGAAAUGAAUUAAAGAUUUAUCGGUGAUGGAUGGGGAUGCGUCUGAUUAGCUUGUUGGCGGGGUAACGGCCCACCAAGGCUACGAUCAGUAGGGGUUCUGAGAGGAAGGUCCCCCACAUUGGAACUGAGACACGGUCCAAACUCCUACGGGAGGCAGCAGUGAGGAAUAUUGGUCAAUGGGCGAGAGCCUGAACCAGCCAAGUAGCGUGCAGGAUGACGGCCCUAUGGGUUGUAAACUGCUUUUAUAGGGGAAUAAAGUGAGCCACGUGUGGUUUUUUGCAUGUACCCUAUGAAUAAGGACCGGCUAAUUCCGUGCCAGCAGCCGCGGUAAUACGGAAGGUUCGGGCGUUAUCCGGAUUUAUUGGGUUUAAAGGGAGCGUAGGCCGGAGAUUAAGCGUGUUGUGAAAUGUAGAUGCUCAACAUCUGCACUGCAGCGCGAACUGGUUUCCUUGAGUACGCAUAAAGUGGGCGGAAUUCGUGGUGUAGCGGUGAAAUGCUUAGAUAUCACGAAGAACUCCGAUUGCGAAGGCAGCUCACUGGNGCGCAACUGACGCUGAAGCUCGAAAGCGCGGGUAUCGAACAGGAUUAGAUACCCUGGUAGUCCGCGCGGUAAACGAUGGAUGCCCGCUGUUGGGCCAACUGGUUCAGCGGCCAAGCGAAAGCAUUAAGCAUCCCACCUGGGGAGUACGCCGGCAACGGUGCAACUCAAAGGAAUUGACGG